rnacentral:tRNA from 1 species
AGAAAAGUAAGCUAAGAAAGCUAGUGGGUUCAUACCCCAUUAAUAGAGUAUUUCCUCUCUUUUCUA